GGGGGGACGGAGAAGGCUAUGUCAGCCGGGCGACGGUCGUCCCGGUUUAAGCGUGUAGGCUGACUUUCCAGGCAAAUCCGGAAAGUUAAGGCUGAGGCGUGAUGACGAGGCACUACGGUGCUGAAGUGACAAAUGCCCUGCUUCCAGGAAAAGCCUCUAAGCAUCAGGUAACAUCAAAUCGUACCCCAAACCGACACAGGUGGUCAGGUAGAGAAUACCAAGGCGCUUGAGAGAACUCGGG
rnacentral:rRNA from 1 species